ensembl:lincRNA 1700027F09Rik RIKEN cDNA 1700027F09 gene
UGGAAUAUUACCACAAUAAGCCACAAGAUGAAGCAGUUGCCCUUUCCCUGACCAUAGAAAGGACUCCCAUGUGCAGAAUAUUGUCUUUCAUCUAUAGUGGCCAUUGAGAAUACCAUGCCUUAGAAGCCAGAGAAUGACUGAGUCUUCAAGACUCCUGCAGCAGCCCUUCCUGGAGAAGGUUGGGGUGUGUGAACAGUGAGAGGAGGACCAUAUAGACAUUCAUCUAGAUUACAGCUGCCCACCUCCUUGGCACCAGCCACGGGCACUGCAUUCCUUAAAGCUCUCAUUAAUUGUGUGUAUAGGUGCUUUGCCUGAAUGUACAUCUGUGUACCUCUGUGUACCAGGUAUGUGCAGGGGCUGUGAAGGCAAGAAGAAGACAUUGGAACCCCUGGACUGGAACUAUAGACCAUCGUGAGCCACUGUGAGAAUUGAGCUAUCUUCUGGAAGAGCAAUCAGCACACUCAACUGCUGAGCCAUCUCUUCAGCCCUGACAGAAUUCUUAAACCCGAUAAACACUUUUAACAAAGUACCAAGGUAUAAACUCAACACACGAAAAUCAGUGGCUUCCUUAUCUGCCAAUCACAAACUAAGAAAGAAAUCUGAGGUGAAAAAUCACAUAACUAUGUACCUCAUAGCCCUAGGAGCAAUCCAAACCCAGGACCUUCAAAAUAAAUAAAAUAUCUAGAAAAAUCUAACCGAGGAGGUGAAAGACCUCUACAGUAAAGCCUUUAAGACACUGAAGAAAGACAUUGAAUAAAACACUAGGAU